UUCCUGCUUCCUUAUCCCGUAUAAGCCCUAGACCACCAGAGAUCAGGGCCUGAUAUUCUGAGAAUGCUCCCCAUCCUUGCCCAUAGAUGUUUGUGUAUGAGUAUGACCUUGUUGAAGACCUGAAGUCCUUGUUGGCCUGAACUGGUUGGGAGAUUUGCAACUGCAAAUAGCACUUGUGGUCUGUCUGGAUUUCACAGUGUUAUAUCUGAUGUAGAACCGUUUCAUGCUUUGACGCUGAGUGCUGUCAAAAUGUGAAGCUUCACACAGCAAUCAAUAUCCACUUUAGGAGAUUCUUUAUGAAGUACUGGAGCAGUAUUUAUGUCUUCCUCUACAACAAAUCACAUGGAUGGAGCUUCUUCUAACAAUGUUGGGAUGUGGAAAUUAAAGCCCAGGGAUUUUAUUGACCACCAAAGGUCAGACACUACAUAGAAGAUCCAGAACAUUCCUAAGGCAACAGAUUAUAGCUUUGAUGAAGGCCUAGACUAGGUGGUAUUUCCUCAAAGUGUGCUUCCUCAGCCCCCUGCAUCAAAAUUCCAUAUAAUAAUCACUAAAUGUAAUACUAAUUAUUAAAAUAUGUAUUCUAGUCUCUGAGCUCCUUGCUCAGAAUUUCUGGGAUAAGGUCCAGAAAUCUGCAGAUUAAUAAAAUCCCAUUAGGCGACCUGCAUGCAUGCACACACUGAACUUUGAAUCUUCUUGCUAGAACAGUGAAUCGGGGAGCGAAGAUGGCCCCCCGAAGGCGCAGAGGAAUAGAAUCCCAGCUCACAGACCACGCCACACUCCCUUCUCUUUGGAGAUCUUCUUCCUGAGUACCAGGCUGGCCUCAGUGGUCUCCUCCCACCCACCUUCCUCUGGACACACACUUGUUCAUCUGUAAAGGACUCCGCUAACUCAGUGGAAGAAAAGCAAAGCAAAGAAUUAAAUGAAUUGAACGAGCAAGCAUUUAUGCUUACGGGACCCACAAGCUGAGCCAGUAAAGAAAGAGACAGAAAUGUGUGCAUCCGUCCUUAAAUCACAUGCUUACUGGACCAUUUCGGUAGUGAAACCAUUGCGGCAGUUCUUCAAGAGUCUUCCUGUAAACUCUCCAUGAGUUUGCAAUAAGAUCGAGAAGGAAAGACUUGCACAGUGUGAAACAGAUUAAGCAAUAAUGGAAAGGCCUACGUAAUUAGGUUAAAAAACAGAAUCGAGUAAUGCACACUUGAAGUACUGGGAGAAUGCAAAAAUAGGACAGAUGGGGGUUGUAGUAUCAGAACUGAGUUUUCUGGAAGAUGAAGAAUUUAAGUUUGUUCCACAAACCCAGCUUAUAACCAGCAUUUAUUAAAACAUUUCUUAUGAGUGCUGUACAAGACUGUGGAGGCGGAAAAGACUAGAGUGAAUAGGAUCUGGACUCUAACUGUCAAGAACUUUGUGCACCAGAAUGAGAGACGCACAUUUACCUAAUAAUGCAAGGUUCUAAAGGUUAAGAGUGGGCAGUUAAAGUAUAAGGGAAGUCCUUGGAAAGCCAAAGUAAGAAAAAUAAAAGAUAAAGAGGACAAGGAGCAGGAAUUAUCAGAGCAGGAUUUCAUGGAAAGGGUGUAAAGCAGAUUAUGGAGCGAAAUACUGAAAAGCACCGACAAAUUCUUGGACUUGAGAAAAAUGCUGACUAAUGAAACCUUAGCGUCUUUGGGAUUUAGCAGUUAAUCACUGACUACGGAGGAGAAGAGGCAAGGCAGAGAAAUGAAGGAAGUGGGAGACAAACAACAAAAGUAAUCAAUAGAGAAAUAGUGAAAAAAACAACAACAACAAAAAAGAGAAAUAGUUGGAGGCAGUUUGGAUGAAGAAAUACACCCUAAGUUGUUUUGUAAGAAACAUGGAAGUGGGCGAGGUCAGAAAUUUGGUUAGAAUUUGACCAAAGAGGUCAGAAUUUGAGGGAAGGUAUCUGAAACUUCUCUCUUUUUUGCCUGUUUGAGACAG